rnacentral:rRNA from 1 species
CACGUAGGGGACGAGCGUUGUCCGGAUUCAUUGGGCGUAAAGCGCGCGUAGGCGGCCCGGCAAGUCGGAUGUGAAAACCUGGGGCUCAACCCCAGGCGUGCACCCGAUACUCCCGGGCUGGAGGCAGGUAGGGGAGAUCGGAAUUCCUGGUGUAGCGGUGAAAUGCGCAGAUAUCAGGAGGAACACCGGUGGCGAAGGCGGAUCUCUGGGCCUUGCCUGACGCUGAGGCGCGAAAGCGUGGGGAGCGAACAGG